AGUGGAUUAUUCCAAAGGGAUCGCAUUGAUCCUGUGUGCCAAAUUAACCAACUGGUUCUCAUAGGAUCAUGCGAUCUCUUCGGAAUUCUCCAU
rnacentral:pre_miRNA from 1 species